AGCUCCAAUAGCGUAUAUUAAAGUUGUUGCAGUUAAAAAGCUCGUAGUUGGAUCUCAGACCCCGGCUCGCGGUCCGCCUCACGGCGUGUUUACUGCCCGUCCGGGGUCUACCUGCCGGCUUUGCAAGGGCGGUUGGGAGCGAUCCCCCGUCACUUUCCCUUGGUGCUCUUAACCGAGUGUCUCGGGGGGCCGGAACGUUUACUUUGAAAAAAUUAGAGUGUUCAAAGCAGGCGAUUCGCCUGAAUAGUGGUGCAUGGAAUAAUGGAAUAGGACCUCGGUUCUAUUUUGUUGGUGUUCUUUCGGAACUCGAGGUAAUGACUAAGAGGGACAGUCGGGGGCAUUCGUACUGCGGCGUUAGAGGUGAAAUUCUUGGAUCGCCGCAAGACGAACUACUGCGAAAGCAUUUGCCAAGAAUGUUUUCA
rnacentral:rRNA from 1 species